GAAACAGGGGCCUGAAUAUGGCUUCUAGCAGGAAAAGCAGGGGUAGUGGGGAAACUCCUGAGAGUGCCUACAGGGUCACAUGACUGAAUGGGGAGAGGCUUAAGAGAGCCUCUUAAUGCCUGUACCUGAGAGUAAGCAGGCAGUUUGGCCCUGCCAGCUACACAGUGAAAAGCUCCUGCGAGAGACUGUGCUGACUUCUGUGAUGCCUGACAAUGCCAGUGUGAGCUUCUGGGAGGCAAGCUAUAUUUCAUCUAAGGCUUCAUGUUUCAACAAUACUUCUUUACUGGGUUUAUAACAAGACAUCUCCUUCUACUACUACCUCAUUAGCUAGCAAACAAGUCAUUAGUUCCAUAUCCUGAAUGCAAAAAUGUCUUCUCUAUAACCAUAAGAGGACUGAAAGCUAUGAAUACCCUUGCUUUCAUAGCAUGGAAUCCAGCUCUUGUUCAGCAGCUGGACUCUUUUCUGUUACACAUGAAGGAUGUUACAGAUGCAGUUCUAAGAACGUUCACAAGUUUCCGUUUCAGGUGUUGACAUUCUAUUCCACAUUUGGAGGUACUCUUACACAGAUCACCAUUCAAAUUUUUUCCCAGCAGUGCUCAACAACUGCACUCUUCCCAGCCUUUUCUUGCCCUUACCUCCUGAAGUCUAAGAUUCAUUUUCUGUUUUGUUGUCCUCAGUUGUUCUACUGCAAUUGCUGCAUCUGUCUGAAAAGACGAGAGAAACCAUUUCUGCAGUCAGUCAUCAGUAUGCCAAACCUGACUGCGCAAAAAUCUCUUAUUAUUGUCUUGCAUCAUAUACUAUACCAAGACUAGAUUGCCAAUUACAGUCUGGGUCAAGAGUGCUAAAAUGAUGAGUGCUUUAUGCACUGUUCAUGACCUAUUAUUUGAGACCAUCAAGAUGUUAGGAUGAACAUAAUGCAUCUUAUUCCCCUUUCACUUAAUUGUGGUGAAGCUGUACAAUCCAGAAAAUAUAGGCAAAGAUUAAACUACUAGCAAAAUGAGAGGAGCACUUAAGACUCCAAUGAGGAGGACCCUGCGCUUUAGAGGGACCCCUAAAAAUUUUGAAUGGAAAUAUGGACCCUACUGGAAGUUUUAAAUGGGGUACAGACUCCUUUGAAUGGUAAGUGUGAGUAUUCACAUACUUUUGAUCAGUCAUCUUUCAUGGAUCCCUAGGGGUCUGCAGACUACAGGAUGACAGCCAAUACUCCAUGAUCACCUCUCCUCAUCUGAGGAUCUCUAGCUGUCUUGGACAAAAGACCAGAACCUGCCAAAGCAUUUCUAAUGAAGCAUGUGCAAUUUGGAGUCUGUCAAAGCAUAGAAUAAGCACCUUUUUGGUUGUUUUUGUUUUUAAAAGACUGGCUACUAGUAUUGGCAUCGAUUGGAGAUGUAAUCCUUGAAGACUAGCUGCAUCUCCGAGCACAGGAUUUGCAUUUGCAACCAUUGUUCUGUACCUUGGUU